rnacentral:lncRNA from 1 species
GGGAAAGCUUUGGGCUUUUUUGGGGGGCUCAUUCCCUUUGUUUCUCAAAAUAUCCCUGGCCCUGGCUGCUCUAAUCUCUUCCCAGAGUAGAGACAGCGAGGCUCCUGCUCCAGGAACACAGCCUGCUCCCUGAGACAGCACUCUGGCUCAGCCCUGGGGCCCCGGCCUGGGUGGCCCUCAGGAAGACCUUCUCCUUCAGUGGGGGUGCCUCCCUCCCUGGUGUGAAAUGGAACACUGUUUCUCAGAACCCCGCAUCCUGUGAAACCCUUGGGAAAAAAUAACCUCGAUGCCCACAGGCGAUUGUUCAGUACUUCCCACGCCUGACACUUGUCUUUGAGUAAGUCUGGUGGCGUUCUGGCCGGCCCCGCAACAGCGGGACUGUGUCUUGUGAUAUGAAGAGGUUCUUUUCCUAACCAUAUAUGUCUCCCCAAGAGCACCAAUAAAUAAUGUGGUUGCUCGGCCUGGGUUGUCUUUCCCUAGCUGGCCCAGGAGCCCUCUGGCCCCUGCUCGCGGCUUCUCCUGUUUCAAUUUCCAUGUCCUCUCCGAUUUGUAACUCAAGGAGCUCCCAGGCUUAGGAACAGAUGACGAGCUGGCCACUCCUGGCUGUGGCACCUGGGGAAGGGGCGAUGGGCAAUGACUUGCAGGCACACUCCUGGCUCCCUGGCCCCGGCUGCCGUGACACACUGCAAGUUGACUUUCGCAGGGUCCCUGGACUUCGAGGUGCUACUGUCUGGCAUCUCCUUCAAGGGAAAGCCAGAUCUCCAAACAGCGGCAGAACCAGGCAUGUAGAGCCCAGUGAGUGGCUAGGAGUCAGUGGGGCUCUCUACCUGCCCAUCUCAUCCAGGGCACAACAGGGCCUGGCCUGGAGGACAGUGUCCCCGCUCAGCCAAAGCUCCCUGGAAGAGGAAAUUCCUUUCCUGCAGAGCUCUCCAGGAGAAGCAGAGAAAGAUCUCAGCGCUCAGAGAUUAGCUGGGAUUGCUCUGGAGGCAUGUGAUGAUGGUCAUAAUAGCACCAAGGAAUGACAUACUGUUGAUUUGCUCUCAGGCACAGUACCAAGCAUUUGACCUGAAUUAUUCAAUCCACACACCAGUCACGAGACAGGUGUUUUUAGUUGUCUCCAUUGUACAGAUGAAGAAACUGAGGUGGAGUGGGGUUAAACCACUUGUCAGGGUCAGUAUCAGCAUUGAAUCCCUGCAGCCUGACCUGGGGUCCUCGGCUCUGACCAACUUGGUGAUGUUGUCUCCUCCUGGAAGUUCUUACUGAUCACUUAUAGACAGAUCAGGGAUUUCUUUAUGGCAAGGUAUAUACAAAGGAAAGUGCCGAUAGUCUUUAUUUUUAAAACCUUCAAAGAAAGCAGAAAAGUUAGAAGCAGAAACAGAAGAAAAAAAGAUUUAGAUCAAGUAGUAAUUAUUCAAUAACUCAAGUUUAGAAAGAUACUAGAUUUGGGGCACCUGGGUGGCUCAGUCAGUUAAGUGAUCGACUUCAGCUCAGGUCGUGAUCUCAGUUUGUGAGUUUGAGCCCCUCAAUGGUCUCCAUGCUGACAGCUCAGAACCUGAAGCCUGCUUUGGAUUCUGUCUCAUUCUCCUCUGCCCCUCCCCCACUUGUGCUCUGUCUCUCUCAGUCUCUCAAAAAUAAAUAAAAAUGUAAAAAAAAUUAAAAAAAGAAA